UACGGAGGCUGCAAGCGUUAUCCGGAAUCAUUGGGCGUAAAGCGUCCGCAGGUGGCCGUUCAAGUCUGCUGUCAAAGACUGGGGCUUAACCCUAGAAAGGCAGUGGAAACUGAACAGCUAGAGUGCGGUAGGGGUAGAGGGAAUUCCCGGUGUAGCGGUGAAAUGCGUAGAGAUCGGGAAGAACACCAGUGGCGAAAGCGCUCUGCUGGACCUGCACUGACACUGAGGGACGAAAGCUAGGGGAGCGAAUGGG
rnacentral:rRNA from 1 species